rnacentral:rRNA from 1 species
AUUGAACGCUGGCGGCAUGCCUUACACAUGCAAGUCGAACGGUAACAGGUCUUCGGAUGCUGACGAGUGGCGCACGGGUGAGUAAUACAUCGGAACGUGCCCGAUCGUGGGGGAUAACGGAGCGAAAGCUUUGCUAAUACCGCAUACGAUCUACGGAUGAAAGCAGGGGACCGCAAGGCCUUGCGCGGACGGAGCGGCCGAUGGCAGAUUAGGUAGUUGGUGGGAUAAAAGCUUACCAAGCCGACGAUCUGUAGCUGGUCUGAGAGGACGACCAGCCACACUGGGACUGAGACACGGCCCAGACUCCUACGGGAGGCAGCAGUGGGGAAUUUUGGACAAUGGGCGAAAGCCUGAUCCAGCCAUGCCGCGUGCAGGAUGAAGGCCUUCGGGUUGUAAACUGCUUUUGUACGGAGCGAAAAGACUCUUUCUAAUAAAGAGGGUCCAUGACGGUACCGUAAGAAUAAGCACCGGCUAACUACGUG